rnacentral:rRNA from 1 species
GACGAACGCUGGCGGCGUGCUUAACACAUGCAAGUCGAGCGGUAAGGCCCUUUCGGGGUACGACGAGCGGCGAACGGGUGAGUAACACGUGGGUGACCUCGCCCUCAGCUCUGGGAUAAGCCUGGGAAACCGGGUCUAAUACUGGAUAUGACUCCAUGACGCAUGUUGUGGGGUGGAAAGCCUUGUGCGGCUGAGGAUGGGCCCGCGGCCUAUCAGCUUGUUGGUGGGGUGACGG